GAUGAACGCUGGCGGCGUGCCUAAUACAUGCAAGUCGAGCGAACAGACGAGGAGCUUGCUCCUCUGACGUUAGCGGCGGACGGGUGAGUAACACGUGGAUAACCUACCUAUAAGACUGGGAUAACUUCGGGAAACCGGAGCUAAUACCGGAUAAUAUAUUGAACCGCAUGGUUCAAUAGUGAAAGACGGUUUUGCUGUCACUUAUAGAUGGAUGCGCGCCGCAUUAGCUAGUUGGUAAGGUAACGGCUUACCAAGGCAACGAUGCGUAGCCGACCUGAGAGGGUGAUCGGCCACACUGGAACUGAGACACGGUCCAGACUCCUACGGGAGGCAGCAGUAGGGAAUCUUCCGCAAAGGGCGAAAGCCUGACGGAGCAACGCCGCGUGAGUGAUGAAGGUCUUCGGAUCGUAAAACUCUGUUAUUAGGGAAGAACAAAUGUGUAAGUAACUAUGCACGUCUUGACGGUACCUAAUCAGAAAGCCACGGCUAACUACGUG
rnacentral:rRNA from 1 species